rnacentral:sRNA from 1 species
UGGAAUAACUUCAGAUGGUCAUUAAAC